CCCCCCCCUCGCCCCGCACCCCGCACCCCGUCCCCAGUUGGAGGUGGGGUAGGGGUUAGAGGGAGGGUGUUGAUCAACAAGGGGGCCAGUUUUAUCCCUAGACUGGUCGCCAGAGCCCGGUCCAGGGGGGGGUAUCUCACUGCCUGGGGCUAACCCUUGAUCUCAGGGGGCAGGGACAGACUUCUGACACCCAAAACUUCUCCCAUUCUUUCCCACCCUCUCUGCGAAGUUCUUGGCUCUUGGGAGGUGAAGGGGGUAGGGAAGAAAGAGAGCUCUACUGUAUCUUGAAGCAAUUUCUCAACGUGUGUUUCCGCGUGUGCUGGAGGUUGGAGCCCUCUCUGGCCGACUGAGUGGCAGACAAGAGAAAGUUUUGGGUCUCGCUCCCCACCCCCACCCUCUCCUUGAAAAUCUUCCAAAAAUUAAGGGUAAUAUUUCAAGCCUGCUGUCAAAAUGUCGCCCAAGCUUUGAUUUGGCUGGCCGCCCCCUCUCCCUCCCCUCCCCAACCCCACCUCUCCUCCUUCGCGUUUGAGCGGUUCACGUGGUUGUGAAAUAGGUGUUAGCGUUGGGAUGUUUUUCCACCCCUAAGGUUAUACACCUCCGGGCUGAAGACUUGCUUAAAGUUCUUGUAAGAAGUGCCUGAGCUCUAAUGAGGAGGCAUUCACUUGAGACAAUUCUGGGGUGAAAGAAAUAGGGUGAACUGGAUCCGCUCUCUUUCUUGAAACUCCCCCUUGCUCUUUUAGGGGCCCAAGAAUAGACCGAAGCUUCCCACCCCUCUUUCUCCAAAGAUCAGGAUAACACGGGCUUCUUGACACUCACAUACAGGAGCACGCCCGGUGCAAAACCUUGGGUCGCAAAUUCCCUAACAAGUUAGUCACAUCAUCAGGCCUGGGAAAACAAAAACCUCUGUGGGUCCCUGUUCCUCAGGCAACAGCGCGCAGACGCCUUAAUUGCUGCAAAUUGUCACUCUGUCCCCUUUUCAUUUUCUCACUCCUUCGUUUAUUUUUAGUACACUUCAAAUGCCUACACACUUUCCUAGUAAGGAGAGCAGAGCAAUUAUUGCCUUUGCCUUCAGGGCCUGCUUUGCCAAUCACUGAGCGAGGAUGGAGUAAACAGGGCGAAAAGCCAGGCGCGUUAUUGGUCUUGCUUAUUUCAGGUGGAGGGUGGUAAAUAACUCUCCCUACCGCGUCACCCCCUCCCUGCCUUUGGUUCUUGGGUACCAAUUACCUGGAAGAAAGGAGCUUUGCGCCCCUCCCCUGUGCUCUCAUCACAUCCACUGCGUGCACACCAAGUUUUACUCUCAAAUCCAGCAGAUCCCGUCAGAAUUGGCUGGUUCCACAGAGAGUUGUUAGGAAAAGAAGAAUUCUGUGGAGACCCAGAUCUUAAUUCUGUCCUUGAAUAGAAAGAUGCAUCCUGAGACGGAGAGGAGACAUCUGCCCUGCCCCCCAAGCUGGGAAGUAGGGCCCUUUUUCUCUGCAUGCUAUGAGGGGGCAAAGUACAAGCCCCCAAGAUAUAAUGAUGAAGAGCUCAUUUAGGGGGCCUUUCUAAGCCAAGGCAAGCUUUUAGAUUGACCUGGAGCAGUUUGAACACUUUGCGUGGAUGUCUAUUUUUGUCAUAUUAGCUAAGAGUUCUUAAGAGAGAAUUUAAAUUUUUAAUAUGUGUAUUGUCUUGAAAUUCUACUGAGUCCUGUAUCAAACACCAUGUUUCCUAUCCACAUCCUAGGUUGGAGAUGGAAAGGGAGGCAGGUGUCUAUAGCCUACAGCAGCCUAGGGGGUAUCCUGCAUCCUGCAGAUGGAUCCGAAACAAAUCAGUGCGGGAUUAACUUGUCUGUCUUCUGAAUUGUCUCCAACCGCUAAAGCUGCGAGGGCCGUACCUGCCAGGGUGGCUUCGGGUUACUAGCUGGUGUUGAGCUAGAGACAUUGUCCCAACUCCGGAUGGACCAGGCCAGCUACCUGUCAGGGUGCCAAGGUUCACUGGCUGGAUAUGUUAAAGGAACACAGCGAAUAUAAACCGCACCAUUCUCACAUACACAC
rnacentral:lncRNA from 1 species